rnacentral:lncRNA from 12 species
CUGUUCCCUUCUUCUGGUCUAAAUUGUUCAGGAAAAAAGGAAUGGAUAAAUCUCUCAGGGUAAGCUCUCUCGGAGGACGGUGUCUAAUUUCCCUUUCACUUGAUUAGCCUCUGAGUCUGCUCACCAAAGGCUACAGUGGCCAGAGUUUUGUUAGUCUCCUGCAGAAAUGAAGGCUCCUUCGCUUGCUUGCAGGAGGCCGAGACCUCGGAGUGACUAGCUUCAGAGCCCAGAGUCACCGAAGAGGCUCCCCGGAGCAGCGCUGAUGAAUUCUUCUUACACAAAGACCAGAGAUUCGGCCCCAGCUCCACCCAAGCCUAUCAAUCCUGAGAUUCCAGGCUGGAGGAUUUCAAUAUAACUUGCCAGGUCGGGAGGCACUGGAGCA